AAAAGAACUACAGCAUAUGAUUACUGAUUACAGACAAUAGCUUCCAAACUGGAAAAAUGACAAAGCUUACAGACCAAAGUCAAUCACACAACAGCUGAAUGAAGACAUCUCAAAUUACAACCCAAUUUAGACUACUGCUCUUGGAGGAUCUCCUCUCUCAGUGAGAGUCGACGAACUAGGGCUGUUCCUCGACGCUCACUGAGUAGCGGCUCUCCUCUGUCCUCCGGAGAUGAAGUCCGAGCCCCCUUCAGGAGAAAAUCUCCAUG
rnacentral:misc_RNA from 1 species